AAAAGUUAGAGAGCAACUUGAAAUGUUGCUGAACUUGAACAAGCCAAAGAUUUAAUUCUUCUAUAGCUGUUUCUAGGAUAGGAGCAGUUUGCGAGCACUCCUGAACUUGGACAACCUGAGAAUCAACAACAAGACUCGGAGUUACAGGACUAUCAGAGUCACUGUUGACAUCUUCUAAGGCAAUUUUGAAAAAGCCUUUCCCAAUAAGAGUGAGCUUCCACUUACCCAAAGGCUUCCAAAGCUUUUCAAAAGCUUGGUGAAUAGAUCCGCGCUUCGCAGGGGAGAGGCUCCCUGCCAUGGGGGUUUCGG
rnacentral:lncRNA from 1 species